CGAAUGCUGACAUAAGUAACGAUAAAGCGGGUGAAAAGCCCGCUCGCCGGAAGACCAAGGGUUCCUGUCCAACGUUAAUCGGGGCAGGGUGAGUCGACCCCUAAGGCGAGGCCGAAAGGCGUAGUCGAUGGGAAACAGGUUAAUAUUCCUGUACUUGGUGUUACUGCGAAGGGGGGACGGAGAAGGCUAUGUUGGCCGGGCGACGGUUGUCCCGGUUUAAGCGUGUAGGCUGGUUUUCCAGGCAAAUCCGGAAAAUCAAGGCUGAGGCGUGAUGACGAGGCACUACGGUGCUGAAGCAACAAAUGCCCUGCUUCCAGGAAAAGCCUCUAAGCAUCAGGUAACAUCAAAUCGUACCCCAAACCGACACAGGUGGUCAGGUAGAGAAUACCAAGGCGCUUGAGAGAACUCGGGUGAAGGAACUAGGCAAAAUGGUGCCGUAACUUCGGGAGAAGGCACGCUGAUAUGUAGGUGAAGUCCCUCGCGGAUGGAGCUGAAAUCAGUCGAAGAUACCAGCUGGCUGCAACUGUUUAUUAAAAACACAGCACUGUGCAAACACGAAAGUGGACGUAUACGGUGUGACGCCUGCCCGGUGCCGGAAGGUUAAUUGAUGGGGUUAGCCGCAAGGCGAAGCUCUUGAUCGAAGCCCCGGUAAACGGCGGCCGUAACUAUAACGGUCCUAAGGUAGCGAAAUUCCUUGUCGGGUAAGUUCCGACCUGCACGAAUGGCGUAAUGAUGGCCAGGCUGUCUCCACCCGAGACUCAGUGAAAUUGAACUCGCUGUGAAGAUGCAGUGUACCCGCGGCAAGACGGAAAGACCCCGUGAACCUUUACUAUAGCUUGACACUGAACAUUGAGCCUUGAUGUGUAGGAUAGGUGGGAGGCUUAGAAGUGUGGACGCCAGUCUGCAUGGAGCCGACCUUGAAAUACCACCCUUUAAUGUUUGAUGUUCUAACGUUGACCCGUAAUCCGGGUUGCGGACAGUGUCUGGUGGGUAGUUUGACUGGGGCGGUCUCCUCCUAAAGAGUAACGGAGGAGCACGAAGGUUGGCUAAUCCUGGUCGGACAUCAGGAGGUUAGUGCAAUGGCAUAAGCCAGCUUGACUGCGAGCGUGACGGCGCGAGCAGGUGCGAAAGCAGGUCAUAGUGAUCCGGUGGUUCUGAAUGGAAGGGCCAUCGCUCAACGGAUAAAAGGUACUCCGGGGAUAACAGGCUGAUACCGCCCAAGAGUUCAUAUCGACGGCGGUGUUUGGCACCUCGAUGUCGGCUCAUCACAUCCUGGGGCUGAAGUAGGUCCCAAGGGUAUGGCUGUUCGCCAUUUAAAGUGGUACGCGAGCUGGGUUUAGAACGUCGUGAGACAGUUCGGUCCCUAUCUGCCGUGGGCGCUGGAGAACUGAGGGGGGCUGCUCCUAGUACGAGAGGACCGGAGUGGACGCAUCACUGGUGUUCGGGUUGUCAUGCCAAUGGCACUGCCCGGUAGCUAAAUGCGGAAGAGAUAAGUGCUGAAAGCAUCUAAGCACGAAACUUGCCCCGAGAUGAGUUCUCCCUGACUCCUUGAGAGUCCUGAAGGAACGUUGAAGACGACGACGUU
rnacentral:rRNA from 1 species